AAUGAACGCUGGUAAUAUGCCUUAGACAUGCAAGUUUAAUUUAGGUUAAACAAUUUUAUUAUAUUUUUUAAGUAUAAAAAAUUUGUUUGCUUUGAUAGCGUACGGGUGAGUAAUAUGUAG
rnacentral:rRNA from 1 species